CCUUAUUUCAGCCUCUUUUUUCCACUGAAUUUCCUCACUGAGCUAUCCUUAUUCUAUUACUCUUUAUAUCCUUAAUUAACGUUUAAUUAAGCAGUUGUUUCCUGAUCCUCACCAACGCCGUCCCCGCUUCGAAUUCCCUGGAUCCACCGGGGCUGGACCCCGAGAACCUGAACUGACCCAGGUGGUGCCGGAAGUGAUCUGAGAAAGCUGGGGAUGGGCACAAUCACUACCUAGCUGAUAAUGGGAAUCUCAUCCUGAGUGGGACAUGAGAUGUGAAUAGUCCCUGGCAGAAGCUGGUGGCCCAACUGUUGAAGAUUCAUCGUGGUAACCUGAGAAAAUGUCUUGAUGGAGAAGGAUGCCCUUGCUAGUGUAAUAAUCCAGGCACUUCAAAGAUAUGGGGGAACCAAUACCUAUAAGGACAGCAGAGUUGGCUAGAUACCAACAAGUUGUACUGAUAUCCUGCUGGGGAUGAAGAGAAACUAAAAGCGGCCAACAAAUAGCUAAAGUUGAGUGUGAGAGUCAGAGGGACUAUAUGCAGAGGAAAAACGGACAAUGAUACUCAGAGUUUUGCCCUAAGCCUAUAUUAACUCUUUCCCUCUGUAAUAAUACAGUCUAAGGAGAGCUGGACUCUGGGGAUAUCCUACUGAAUGUUACGCUGAUCCAUUACAUUGAUGUCAUCACAUUGACUGAGCAGUACAAGCAAGAAGUGAUAGCAGUGCUAGAGGUGGUGGCAAGAUAUAUUGCUAGGGAUGAUGGGAGAUAAACCCUAUGAAUUUCAAAGGUCUUCCUUUUCAGAAAGGUUUCUAGGUGUCUAAUGAUCGAAAGUAUACUUUUGGAUUUCCCCUCAAAGUAAAAGACAAAUGGCUUCAUCUUGCAUCCCCGACCACAAAGAAGCACAGCAUCUGGUAGACCUCUUUGAUUUCUAGAGAAAGUACAUUCCACACCAAGCAUAUUGCUCCACCUGUAGACUGGAUGACAUGGAAAGAUGCCAACUUUAAGUACAGCCAAAACAGGAAAGAGCCCUGCAGCACAUCUAGGCUGCAAUAAAAACAUCCCUGUAAAUUGAACCAUAUGGCCCCAUGGACCCUGAGGGAAUCAGAUGUAUCUAUGU
ensembl:lncRNA